ensembl:snoRNA SNORD16 Small nucleolar RNA SNORD16
UGCCAUGAUGUCGUAAUUUGCGUCUUACUCUGUGCUCAGGGACAGUUGCCUGCUGUCAGUGACCUGGCACGGGUGGCUGACGACCCACUAACGCUGAGCA